AGAAGGUAGACUGGCAGAGGCAAUGGAGUCUCUAACGACCAGCAACACUUUCCUCGAAUUAGUCCCAUUUCCGAUUUCCUUCCUGUCAAUUAAACCGAUUGCCAGAGAGAUCAGAGAAGAGCAAACCCUUCGUGAGUUCUUCCCAAUUCCUUCCCAUUAUUUACAUGUUUUUUCCCCCAAUUCCUUCCCCCAAAUCACCAUUCAUUCACCCAUUAUUUACAUGUUUUUUUCCUGGCAUAUUUAUUGUUUAAUUAUUGUUUUUUUUUUUUGAGUAGUUUAUUAUGCUCUAUGUUUGAUUUUUAGGAUUUUGAAUUGCUUCGGCUUCGAUUCGAGGCUUAUUGUUUGGGGAUUUUGUUACAAAUUAUUGAAAGUUUUGUAAUGCCAAAGUGAUCCGGUGCUUAUUAUCAACUCAAAUGACUUUUGAAGCCUUAAAGUGAGUUUCAAUUGAAGAUGAAAGUAGAUCAAAGUUUAAUUAUCUAUUUUAUUUCUACGUUCUUUAUUACUUUUGGAGCAGAAGUUUUGAAAAAUCUGGUUAACUUAGCCUAAUCGAGUGUUGUUUCUGGCAUAAGAGCAUAUCUUAUUACAUGCCACUAGGUCAAACAUUUGAAAAGUACUUGUGAGCCAGUGAAAAGGAGAACAUGUAAGAUGGAAAA
rnacentral:lncRNA from 1 species